AUUGAACGCUGGCGGCAUGCCUUACACAUGCAAGUCGAACGGCAGCACGGGGGCAACCCUGGUGGCGAGUGGCGAACGGGUGAGUAAUACAUCGGAACGUGCCCAGUCGUGGGGGAUAACGUAGCGAAAGCUACGCUAAUACCGCAUACGAUCUCCGAAUGAAAGCGGGGGACCGCAAGGCCUCGCGCGGUUGGAGCGGCCGAUGGCAGAUUAGGCAGUUGGUGGGGUAAAAGCUUACCAAGCCUCCGAUCUGUAGCUGGUCUGAGAGGACGAUCAGCCACACUGGGACUGAGACACGGCCCAGACUCCUACGGGAGGCAGCAGUGGGGAAUUUUGGACAAUGGGCGCAAGCCUGAUCCAGCAAUGCCGCGUGCAGGACGAAGGCCUUCGGGUUGUAAACUGCUUUUGUACGGAGCGAAACGGCUUCCACUAAUACUGGGGGCUAAUGACGGUACCGUAAGAAUAAGCACCGGCUAACUACGUGCCAGCCGCCGCGGUAA
rnacentral:rRNA from 1 species